rnacentral:rRNA from 1 species
CGUGUAGGCGGCUCCUUAAGUCUGAUGUGAAAGCCCUGGGCUCAACCCGGGAAGUGCAUUGGAAACUGGGGAACUUGAAUACGGGAGAGGGUAGUGGAAUUCCUGGUGUAGGAGUGAAAUCCGUAGAUAUCAGGAGGAACACCGGUGGCGAAGGCGGCUGCCUGGACCGAUAUUGACGCUGAGACGCGAAAGCGUGGGGAGCAAACA